UCACUGCUUGCGCAGGCAGUCUCGCUAGAGUCCCCAGCCGAACUGCUGGCAACUAGGGACAAGGGUUGCGCUCGUUGCGGGACUUAACCCAACAUCUCACGACACGAGCUGACGACAGCCAUGCAGCACCUGUGUUCCGGUUCCCGAAGGCACACCCGCAUCUCUGCAGGGUUCCGGACAUGUCAAGGGCAGGUAAGGUUCUUCGCGUUGCAUCGAAUUAAACCACAUGCUCCACCGCUUGUGCGGGUCCCCGUCAAUUCCUUUGAGUUUUACCGUUGCCGGCGUACUCCCCAGGCGGAGAACUUAACGCGUUAGCUGCGACACCGAGAGGCAAACCCUCCCAACAUCUAGUUCUCAUCGUUUACAGCGUGGACUAC
rnacentral:misc_RNA from 1 species